rnacentral:rRNA from 1 species
UACGGGGGGGGCAAGCGUUGUUCGGAAUUACUGGGCGUAAAGGGCGCGUAGGCGGUUCGCUAAGUCGGAUGUGAAAACUCUGGGCUCAACCCAGAGCCUGCAUCCGAAACUGGCGGGCUAGAGUUCUGGAGGGGGUAGCGGAAUUCCUGGUGUAGCGGUGAAAUGCGUAGAUAUCAGGAGGAACACCGGUGGCGAAGGCGGCUACCUGGACAGACACUGACGCUGAGGCGCGAAAGCUAGGGGAGCAAACGGG